CCUGGAUUCUUGGAGAAAGCAUUGCAGGGGGGACGUGAAUUCUUUCCUCUUAUCAGUUUUGUGCCUCUGAAGAAGAUGCAGGCUGUGCCCUUUCUCAAGAACGAAGGGAAUUUCUGAUCACAUGCAGCUAUCAUUCAAUAGUAACAUCUUCAGAAGUGAUUCUGCACCACCCUACCCCCUCCUGGGAAGAUGAAGGAUGUCUCUGUUUUCAAGCAAAUUCCUUCAGAAGUUCCAGCCAGAAAUGGGUGCAGGACAGCUGACAGCUGGGGCUCUAGGAAACUUCUUCAUACCCUGUUAUGGAGAUGGGACUUCAGCAAGCAGUGAGGGAGAGAUUGCAGCAGCCUGGCAUGAGCUUGGGUAAAGAGAGGAGGCCGAGAGGUAAAGGAGCCCUGCACCCACCUCACUGACAAUCUGGAAAUGAGGAGACUAUGUUCCCACACUCACAUUCCUUGCUGAAAAUCCUCAAAGGCCAGUAGAUCGAUCACCUUAGCCACAUCAAGAAUGUUGCUGAAGUCAAUGUGUGGUGGUGCUGGAGUCACUGCAAGGCGAUGGCCCCCGGAAGCCACGAGGCCACAAAAGGUUACUGCAUGAAGCCGUGAGAGUGAAUCCCAAGCUUCAGGAAAGGUCUCAAGAAGUUCGAGGUGGGAGAGCAGUGAGAAAUAUGCCAAGGAGAACAUCAUAUAGAGAGCAGA